GGCUAAAACAUCAGAAGGUAUUAAGCUCCAAGCCUCUGCCCCUUCUAGUUAUUCUCUAAUCCCUAUCCUAUUCAAGGGGAAAAAAAGGAAGAAAGGAAGAGAGAAUUACUUAAAGUAAAAUUUUUCAGAUACAAAAAGGUGAUCUGUAAGUAAUGAUGGAAGGAGUGAGUCCUCAGCUUCUGCUGCUGGGAAGUCCUCAGCUUCUUCGUGCUGAAUAUUUAGCAGAUGCUGCCUCUAAAGAGAACAGUCACUACACUUAUGGCAGGGAUUUUGCUCUCAGUAGCUCAAGAGGCAAAAUGAACUACAGACUGGGACAAAAGGUGUGAAGUCUCUCAUUUACAUAGAUUGGAUUCAUCACAAAUUUACCAGGUCAAGAUUUCCAUAUCAAGUGUUUCAGCCUUCACUUGCAGAUCAUGAAAAAUAUGAUGGAGAUCCACAGAAUCUUCAGAAACUGCAUGUUGUUACCAGAAUAAAAAGUACAAAAAGGUGUCCAUAUAUUGGGAAAAAAUAUAAUAAAGAUGCUCAGAUUAGAAAACACACAUACCCCUCAAGUUCACAAGCAUAUCUCUUAAGUGAGUGCAAAACUGAAAGUGGUUAAACAGUAAGAAUCAAGCCCCUGAAGUUGCCACAAGGACUUCCAACUGAGGAGGACAUGUCUAAGCUCUGCCUCAAGAGCACUGGGGAAUUAGUGCAGUGGCAUCUGAAAUCUGUGGAGCAGAAAGCAAUUAAGUCCUAAUGCCCGAGGAGCUUCAGAUUAAAAAAUGGAAAUUUUUUUUUUAUUUAAAGAUGAUGAGAAAGUGUUUCAUUAAAACAUAUGUUAAAUAUAUAUAAAAAAAGAAAGUGGGCGAAAGAAGAAAGGAAGAAAUUUAGAUUGGUCAUUAGAGAAUAACUUCCUGACAACAAAAAUUGAAACAUGGAACACAUUAUCAAAGAACAUUAUGUUGGAUAAACUGAAGAAAAUACAACCUUGUGAAGGGCUGUCAACACACAAAUAGUGUCAACAUACACACAAGAUGGGGAAGUACAAAUAUAGUCUACUUGGCUCAGCCCCAUUUAUAAUUUAAAAUAGAAAAAUAAAAAAAGGAAAGUGGUAAAACAAACUUCACAGCACCAGUCACGACUGCACUACAAUUCUGCCAGCUUAAAUACAAGUUAGCAAAAUGCUAACCCCAGCCGGGUGCAAUGCUUCAUGCCUGUAAUUCCAGCACUUUGGGAGGCCAAGGCGGGAGGAUCAUUUGAGUUCAGGAUUUUGAGACCAGCCGGGGCAACACAGUGAGAGUCCAUCUCUACAAAAAAUAAAAAAUUAGCUGAUGUGGUGGCACAUUUCUAUAGUACCAGCUACUCAGGAGGGUGAGGUGGGAAGACGGCUUGAACACAGGAGGUUGAGGUUGCAG